rnacentral:rRNA from 1 species
UACAGAGGGUGCGAGCGUUAAUCGGAAUUACUGGGCGUAAAGCGUGCGCAGAUGGUUACGUAAGUCGGGUGUGAAAGCCCCGGGCUCAACCUGGGAAUUGCAUUCGAGACUGCGUAGCUAGGGUGCGGAAGAGGGAAGCGGAAUUUCCGGUGUAGCGGUGAAAUGCGUAGAUAUCGGAAGGAACACCAGUGGCGAAAGCG